UGAGAUAUUACCUGCCCUAUGAUUUUUUAAAUGGCCGCGGUAUUUUGACUGUGCAAAGGUAGCAUAAUCAUUAGUUUAUUAAUUGUAAACUUGUAUGAAUGGUUUGACGAAAUAUUACCUGUCUUAUUUAUAUUAAUUGAAUUUAAAUUUUUAGUUAAAAUGCUUAAAUUUUAUUAUAGGACGAGAAGACCCUAUAGAUCUUUAUUAUAUUGGUAUUUAUAUAGUUAGGAUUUAUUUAUUUAUAAAUAUUUAUAUUUUUUUGUUGGGGUGACAUGGAGAAUUCUUAUAAACUUUUUAUUUUUUUUUACAAUGAUUAUUGAAUUUUAGAACUUAUUGUAAUGAUAUAAGAUUAGAUACCUUAGGGAUAACAGCGUAAUUUUUCUUGAGAGUU
rnacentral:rRNA from 1 species